rnacentral:rRNA from 1 species
UACGUAGGGUGCGAGCGUUAAUCGGAAUUACUGGGCGUAAAGCGUGCGCAGGCGGUUCGCCAAGUCAGGUGUGAAAUCCCCGGGCUUAACCUGGGGAUUGCGCUUGAAACUAGCGGGCUUGAGUGUGGCAGAGGGGGGUGGAAUUCCACGUGUAGCAGUGAAAUGCGUAGAGAUGUGGAGGAACACCGAUGGCGAAGGCAGCAUCCUGGACCAAUACUGACACUGAGGAGCGAAAGCCAGGGGAGCAAACGGG